rnacentral:rRNA from 1 species
AUUGAACGCUGGCGGCAGGCCUAACACAUGCAAGUCGAGCGGAGCGGAGGACGGGUGAGUAAUACCUAGGAAUCUGCCUGGUAGUGGGGGAGAACGUCCGGAAACGGGCGCUAAUACCACAUACUAUCAGAUUAGCAUAGGUCGGAUUAGCUAGUUGGGGGUGUAAAGGCCUACCAAGGCGACGGUACGUAGCUGGUUUGAGAGGAUGCUCAGUCACACUGGAACUGAUAAACGGCCCAGACUCCUAGGGGAGGCAGCAGGGGGGAAUAUUGGACAAUGGUCGAAAGCCUGCUUCACACAGGCCGCGUUGGUGAAGAAGGCCUUCGGAUUUGAAAGCACUUGAAGUUGGGAGGCGUUACCAACAGAAUAAGCACCGGCUAACUUCGUGCCAGCCGCCGCGGUAAUUC